rnacentral:lncRNA from 1 species
CUCUCUAGGUGCAGGACUCUGCGCUUCCCUUUGUUGAACUUCAUGAGGUUCCUCUCCGCCCAGCUCUCCAGCCUGUUGAGGUCCCUCUGAAUGGCAGUACAGUCCUCUGGGGUAUCAGCCGCUCCUCCCAGUUCUGUACCAUCUGCAAACUUUCUGAAGAAAAGGAGAUUGAAGAACCAGUAACAGUGAAUGUUUGCAACAUAACAGACACCACUACAAAAGAUAUCGAAACAGAGAAAGUGAACAUGCUGUCCRCGGCUGUGCUGGGUUUGAGAGUCCUGCUGGCAAAAAGCAUCGCCUUCAAUACGCUCAUGAGUAUCAAGUUGUUUCUUUUCUGAGGUGGUGGAGAAGCCUGCCAUCAGCAGUCUAAGGAACAGAAGGAGAGAGCGUGUACCCACAGCAAUUUCAACAGCACAGGUCAAAUCUACUGACAAUCAGUAUUGAGAGCACAACAUUGCACCUUCCCCUUAGUUCCUGUAGAUUUAUCUGUCCUUUCACUUUGUCAUGCAGCUUUUCAGCUAACACUAUCUGGAAGUUUUCUUAGGAGGCGUAUUUUACUGUUGAAUCCUGUCUAGCUAGUUUCUUUCAUUUUGAAAACAAUUGUAACYGCUUUUGUUGUCUCUUAUUCCCAGUGAACUUUUCCCUUAUCCCUCUGCAAAGCAGAAACUGAUAUCCCCACUCCUCUAAACGUUGCAUAGAAGCAUCCAAAUUGCUUUGGUAGUUUUGCAAAAUCAGAAUUUCACUAUAGAUCCAUGACCUUUUUAAAAUCUUUUCUAUAGGCAAAUUAUAUCACUCUCUGUUUUACAGCUUAGAGAAUUCAGGCACAGUAGAUAUCAUUUAGUUUUAAUAUUUUUUAGAUAGCUUCAAUAACAAUCAUGUUCUAGAGUAGAUGAAAAAACACAUGUUGUGAAGAUCCUUGAAGUGAUUCACUUCAACCAGAUAAUAUUCAACCAUAGUAACACUUUAAUUUGCAUUUCUUUACCACGCAUCUCUUUUGCUAAGUGUAUGACUCCUGCAUUUUAGGUUUACCCAAAAUAAAGUUUUACUAUGCCAAAAAGUUCUGUGGUUU